rnacentral:rRNA from 1 species
AGUGAACGCUGGCGGUAGGCCUAACACAUGCAAGUCGAACGGCAGCACAGUAAGAGCUUGCUCUUACGGGUGGCGAGUGGCGGACGGGUGAGGAAUACAUCGGAAUCUACUUUUUCGUGGGGGAUAACGUAGGGAAACUUACGCUAAUACCGCAUACGACCUACGGGUGAAAGCAGGGGAUCUUCGGACCUUGCGCGAUUGAAUGAGCCGAUGUCGGAUUAGCUAGUUGGCGGGGUAAAGGCCCACCAAGGCGACGAUCCGUAGCUGGUCUGAGAGGCUGAUCGGCCACACUGGAACUGAGACACGGUCCAGACUCCUACGGGAGGCAGCAGUGGGGAAUAUUGGACAAUAGGCGCAAGCCUGAUACAGCCAUACCGCGUCGGUGAAGAAGGCCUUCGGGUUGUAAAGCCCUUUUGUUGGGAAAGAAAAGCAGCAGGUUAAUACCCCGCUGUUCUGACGGUACCCAAAGAAUAAGCACCGGCUAACUUCGUG